rnacentral:lncRNA from 1 species
CUCAGUACCCAUACAUUUGGCUUGUUUGUCGAGGUUGAUAUGACCCCUUGACUAAAGCUCGGCUUGUUUGUCGAGGUUGAUAUGACCCCUUGACUAAAGCCCAACUUUGUCUGAGCCUCUUGCUUGUGUAUAGAGUGUGCUAAUUGAUUGUUGUGAUUGCUUAUGUUUGCUUUUGCAUAUUGUUUUGCAUAUUGUUUUUGCAUUUAUUAUUUGCUUUGUUUGA